ACCCUCUGUGAUUCUUACCCAUCGGAUCUCUACGCCGGUCUGGAUGGCUGUAAAAGGAGGAAAAGCACAGUUGAAAGUGACGUAAAUAUUUUCAUGACACACGAGCUAGUUUCAGACAGAC
rnacentral:snoRNA from 1 species